AAGAGGUACAGAAGAAGGUGAAGUAGCAGACCUUUGUUUAGCAAUGGGAUCCAGUCUCACUGUGACUCCAGUGGCCGACAUACCUGAGUGUGUCGCUGAGAGAGGAGAGAAACUGGUUAUAGUGAACCUGCAAAAGACACCAUUGCACAGUAUUGCUGCACUAUGCAUUCAUGCUAAAUAUUGAAGAGAAGAGUAUUCAUUAAAGUGACACAAAGUACUAAAGGACCUCCUGAAGAUCAGGUUUCUUUAUCAAUAGAAGGACAGCCUGGACAGAACAUGUAUGGAUUCUAUUUCUCAUUCCUAACUGGAGUUACAUGUGUUUGUGGGUGAAAGACCUCAACAGUUGCAAGAGCCUUUCUUUAUCAGGUUUCCAUGGAGAGCAUCAGCUGGUGCCUCAUCAGAUGAAAUGAAGGCUCAACCGAUGUUUCAUUUUCAAGGACAUUAUGGUGAACCACCACUUGAUAAAGAACUGAUUAUUAAAAAGGGAGUGAAAGAUAUGCAGCUCAAACUAUUAUUGAUUUAUAAUCCAGGAACAAGUGACUGGAGUAUAGAAGAUGAUGCUGCUGCUGUUGUAGUUCCAACUGCAGGCAUAAAGAAAAUAACGCUCAAGGAAUCAUAAAAAUUUUAUGUUUAAAGAAUGACAAAGAUAAAUGCCAAUCAUUGUUAUUAAAAGAAUAUUAUAACUUUAAACUA
rnacentral:misc_RNA from 1 species